UUCUGCAGCCAGACAGCCUGUUCUGUCAUUCCUUCCAUUCUUAUACCCUAAGCAAGGUCAGGCAAGUUCAGUACUUGGAUGGGAUACUGCCAAGAAACACCUACUGUGGUUGCUGAAG
rnacentral:rRNA from 1 species